rnacentral:tRNA from 1 species
GCCUGGCUGGAUCAGUCAGUAGAGCAUGUGACUCUUGAUCUCAGGGUUGUGAGUUCAAGCCCCACCUUGGGCA